GACGAACGCUGGCGGCGUGCCUAAUACAUGCAAGUAGAACGCUGAAGAGAGGAGCUUACUCUUCUUGGAUGAGUUGCGAACGGGUGAGUAACGCGUAGGUAACCUGCCUUGUAGCGGGGGAUAACUAUUGGAAACGAUAGCUAAUACCGCAUAACAAUGGAUGACACAUGUCAUUUAUUUGAAAGGGGCAAUUGCUCCACUACAAGAUGGACCUGCGUUGUAUUAGCUAGUAGGUGAGGUAAUGGCUCACCUAGGCGACGAUACAUAGCCGACCUGAGAGGGUGAUCGGCCACACUGGGACUGAGACACGGCCCAGACUCCUACGGGAGGCAGCAGUAGGGAAUCUUCGGCAAUGGGGGCAACCCUGACCGAGCAACGCCGCGUGAGUGAAGAAGGUUUUCGGAUCGUAAAGCUCUGUUGUAGGUCAAGAACGGGUGUGAGAGUGGAAAGUUCACACUGUGACGGUAGCUUACCAGAAAGGGACGGCUAACUACGUG
rnacentral:rRNA from 1 species